GGCGUAAAGCGUGCGCAGGCGGCGCCAUAAGACAGAUGUGAAAUCCCCGGGCUCAACCUGGGAACUGCGUUUGUGACUGUGGUGCUCGAGUGCGGCAGAGGGGGGUGGAAUUCCACGUGUAGCAGUGAAAUGCGUAGAGAUGUGGAGGAACACCGAUGGCGAAGGCAGCCCCCUGGGUCGACACUGACGCUCAUGCACGAAAGCGUGGGGAGCAAACAGGAUUAGAUACCCUGGUAGUCCACGCCCUAAACGAUGCGAACUAGGUGUUGGGGAAGGAGACUUCUUUAGUACCGUAGCUAACGCGUGAAGUUCGCCGCCUGGGGAGUACGGUCGCAAGAUUAAAACUCAAAGGAAUUGACGGGGACCCGCACAAGCGGUGGAUGAUGUGGAUUAAUUCGAUGCAACGCGAAAAACCUUACCUACCCUUGACAUGCCCGGAACCCUGGUGAGAGCUGGGGGUGCCCGAAAGGGAACCGGGACACAGGUGCUGCAUGGCUGUCGUCAGCUCGUGUCGUGAGGUGUUGGGUUAAGUCCCGCAACGAGCGCAACCCUUGUCAUUAAUUGCCAUCAUUGGGUUGGGCACUUUAAUGAGACUGCCGGUGACAAACCGGAGGAAGGUGGGGAUGACGUCAAGUCCUCAUGGCCCUUAUGGGUAGGGCUUCACACGUCAUACAAUGGUCGGUACAGAGGGUUGCCAAGCAGCGAUGCGGAGCCAAUCCCAGAAAGCCGAUCGUAGUCCGGAUCGGAGUCUGCAACUCGACUCCGUGAAGUCGGAAUCGCUAGUAAU
rnacentral:rRNA from 1 species